rnacentral:lncRNA from 1 species
UCUCCUCCUCCGAUUCUCAUCCCCGUCGGCUGUAUGCGCAUGCACGGCAAGAGCUGCGCGCGCAUUCAGCCGGUCACAUAGGAAAGCAUUCAUAAUGCUUUCCUAUGGACGCUGGCGUGCUCUCACUGUGAAAAUCACAAUGAGAAGCACGCAAGCGCCUCUAGCGGCUGUCAAUGGGACAGCCACUAGAGGAAAUAGGGGAAGGCUUAACCCAUUCAUCAACACAGCAGUUUCUCUGAAACUGCUAUGUUUAUGAAAAAAU